rnacentral:rRNA from 1 species
AGCUCCAAUAGCGUAUAUUAAAGUUGUUGCAGUUAAAAAGCUCGUAGUUGGACUUUAGGCGAGCCGGGCCGGUCCGCCACUGGCGGUACUAGCUCUGGCGAGCCUCACCUUCGGGAAACCAGCGUUCUGCGCUGGGGAACCGAGCCUUACUUUGAGAAAAUUAGAGUGUUUAAAGCAGGCUUACGCUUGAAUACUUCAGCAUGGAAUAACAAGAUAGGACUUUGGUUUUAUUUUGUUGGUUUGAGAACCAAAGUAAUGAUUAAUAGGGACAGUUGGGGGCAUUAGUAUUCAGUAGUCAGAGGUGAAAUUCUUGGAUUUAUUGAAGACUAACUAAUGCGAAAGCAUUUGCCAAGGAUGUUUUCA